UACAGAGGUCUCGAGCGUUGUUCGGAUUCAUUGGGCGUAAAGGGUGCGUAGGCGGCGCGGUAAGUCGGGUGUGAAAUCUUGGAGCUUAACUCCGUAACUGCAUUCGAUACUGCCGUGCUUGAGGACUGGAGAGGAGACUGGAAUUUACGGUGUAGCGGUGAAAUGCGUAGAUAUCGUAAGGAAGACCAGUGGCGAAGGCGGGUCUCUGGACAGUUCCUGACGCUGAGGCACGAAGGUCAGGGGAGCAAACGGG
rnacentral:rRNA from 1 species